UACGGAGGGAGCUAGCGUUGUUCGGAUAUACUGGGCGUAAAGCGCACGUAGGCGGCGCCGUAAGUCAGGGGUGAAAUCCCGGAGCUCAACUCCGGAACUGCCCUUGAAACUGCAGUGCUAGAAUUCUGGAGAGGCGAGUGGAAUUCCGAGUGUAGAGGUGAAAUUCGUAGAUAUUCGGAAGAACACCAGUGGCGAAGGCGACUCGCUGGACAGACAUUGACGCUGAGGUGCGAAAGCGUGGGGAGCUAACAGG
rnacentral:rRNA from 1 species